rnacentral:hammerhead_ribozyme from 1 species
ACCCAACUUACGAGUACCAAAUAGGACGAAACGUGCGUCCUGGAU